GCCGCCGCCGCUCCUGGGCGGGCCGGGCCGGCUGAGGCGGGCGAAGCGGGGUCACCUUCCUCUACCGGAGCCGCUCCGAGGGCCGGGCAGGAGCAGACGCUGCGCAGGGCCCGAGCUGCAUCCCACAUGUUGUCACAGUCGUCAGUCGCUACUUGCCGGCAGAGCAACUGAAGUCUUGGACAGACUUGUUUCUCUUCUUUGCCAGAGGCCAAGCACCCAAAUGGGGUCUUUCAGCACCACGAACUUCAUUACAAGGCUUUUUGCUUUAUGUCUGAGGAAAAACAAGUUGCAACACAGGCACCAGAGUAAUAGACGACCAGCGGUUCCACUCGGAUCACGAAUUUUAACUGAUCCUUCUAAGGUCUUUGAGCAUAACAUGUGGGACCACAUGCAAUGGUCACAAGAAGAAGAGGAGAAUGCCAGGAAAAAAGCAACAGAGAACUCUCUUGUGAAAGUUCAACCAGAAGAUCAAGAUAAAUAUGAGAGAGAAGCCAGUAAAUAUUGGAAUGAAUUUUACAAGACACAUAAAAAUAACUUUUUCAAGGAUCGCAAUUGGCUGUUUCUGGAGUUUCCAGAAAUUCUUCCAGAAAAAAGGAGACGAGAGUUCAAAACAGAAAAAAUAUCUUCGGAACACACAAAAAUAAUUAACGACAACAGUUUUUCACUCAAAAAUGGGAUGUUUGAAGAAGGAGAAAAAUACUGGAAGAAUAAUUAUGGAGGUGGUUCUGCUGUUGUGCAAGGAUACGUAUAUAAUAAAAAUCAAGUAAAUGCUCUUACUGACAAUCCUCAAGGUAAAAACUGUGGAGAAGAACUUGGCAAAGUAGAAUCCUUCCCUGGCUGUGAUGCCACUUUCCGAAUAUUAGAGGUUGGUUGUGGAGCUGGAAACAGUGUCUUUCCUAUUCUGAAAGUUCUAUGCAAUACACCUGGAACCUUUCUAUACUGUUGUGAUUUUGCUUCAGGAGCAGUGGAGCUGGUAAAGUCACAUUCGUCCUACAAUUCAGCCUGGUGUUCUGCCUUUGUUCAUGAUGUGUGUGAUGAUGCUUUACCCUAUCCAUUUCCAGAUGAGAUCCUGGAUGUCAUUCUCCUUGUCUUUGUGCUCUCUACUAUUCAUCCUGACAGGAUGCAAGGGGUUGUAAAUAGGUUGGCUAAGCUACUGAAACCUGGAGGAGUGUUGUUAUUUCGAGACUACGGAAGAUAUGAUACAGCUCAACUUCGUUUUAAAAAAGGUCAUUGCUUGUCAGAAAAUUUUUAUGUAAGAGGAGAUGGAACCAGAGUAUAUUUCUUUACCAAAGAUGAGGUAUGGAACAUGUUCAACUUGGCUGGAUUAACCGAAGUACAGAAUCUAGUUGAUCGGCGAUUACAAGUAAACAGAAAGAAAAAAGUGAAAAUGCAGCGAGUUUGGAUACAAAGCAAGUUCCAGAAGCCAUUGCUAUCUCUGCAUAACCCUGAAGAAACCACCAAAAGGCACCCUUGUAAAUAAUUGUACUCCAGAAGUGUAGUACAUAAUUGAACUUCAGAAACUGAAGCAAAGUUAAAUAGUAGAUGUAAACUUCUCUCCACGUUUGGAACAAGGAUUGGACAUGAAGGGUAUUUUACAUCAGUUAUGUGCCAGUUCCCCUUCUCUUAAGAAUCAUCCAGAAUCUGGACAAGUGGAACAAUGUUUUUACCUGCUUUCAAGUAGAAACCUGUAGUGACAGAAGCUACAAUCCUAACCUCCUGGGAAGCAAAUACCAGAGAAAACCAGAAGUGUCUGUAUCCUGAUUGUGUGCAAUCAAGCUACACUGCCUUCUGAUUUAUCUUAAUAAAGCUUUUGGAGACUCUCAAGUGGAGUAAAAAUCAGCAAAGCUAGACCAUAAUGAAGAAUACUCCAGUGUAUUGAGAGUUAUUGGGCUGCAGAUCCACCACUAAAAAUCUCCAGUGCUUGAUACUGAACCGAGAAAAGAAAAAUACAAAAUGAAAAAUCCUGCAUUGGCUGAAGAACGUGCAGAAUUCUCUCCCAUCUGUAUUUUUUGUGAUUGUUAAUCCUUGUGUGAAGCACUGCUGGACUGCCAUAUAGCAAAUUACAAGCAAGAGAUGAAUGUGUCUGGUUUGAUCUUCGAGCUUCUUUCACAAGAUGCAGUUCUUUUUCACCUAGCAGAGUCUGGGAAACACACAGAGAAUAAACCACACCUGCCUACAGAAAUGGGAAAGAAUUACAUCGAUCUUGGAUCAAUUACUAUUUAGUGUUGUUCUAAUAACUCACACAUUUCGGAAAGGUCGAUGAGGAUCUCGGUAAUGUAGAACCUGCUGAAGCCUUUGGCCACACGUCCCAUGUUUUGAACCAGAUGUCUGUGGUUUACUGACUUGUUUCCUUUCAUCCCACUGCAGGCCAGUAGCAGGAGUUGGAUUCUUAUCUUGAUUGGGAUUGCAUGAGUUCUUGGGAUGGAAGUGUCAUCAGAUCAACUGUAACUAUAGCUUUACAUUCUGUGCGUCGGUGCAUGUGCACAGCUUGAUAUUAUCUGAGUAUCGGUAACAGUGAUACCUAAAGCUACUGUGGAUAAACACGGGUUUCUGAUGACAGCAUCUUAAGUGCAGGAGAAAAGCCCUUGUGCAGUUUAUAAUACCAUCAUAUCCCUGAGGGGCUGACAGAGCUUCAUUCACAGUUUUUCUGUGAGUUGUUUUUCUGUAUUUCACGUAUCACUUCUCUUUCUUGAUGAAAAUUGUUGAUAUUACUUAGCUUUAAAUAAUGACAUUAAGAAUUAACAUCAUAAUAACUUUUCAU